rfam:Trichoderma reesei QM6a unplaced genomic scaffold TRIREscaffold_43, whole genome shotgun sequence.
GCUUCCGUAGCUCAGUUGGUUAGAGCUUCGUACUAAUACUUAAGCUUCCAAGCUCAGUGUUGGUAAUGCGAAGGUCGCAGGUUCAAGCCCUGCCGGGAGCA